AUUGAACGCUGGCGGCAUGCCUAGCACAUGCAAGUCGAACGGUAGCACAGAGAGCUUGCUCUCGGGUGACGAGUGGCGGACGGGUGAGUAAUGUCUGGGAAACUGCCCGAUGGAGGGGGAUAACUACUGGAAACGGUAGCUAAUACCGCAUAAUGUCGCAAGACCAAAGAGGGGGACCUUCGGGCCUCUUGCCAUCGGAUGUGCCCAGAUGGGAUUAGCUUGUAGGUGAGGUAACGGCUCACCUAGGCGACGAUCCCUAGCUGGUCUGAGAGGAUGACCAGCCACACUGGAACUGAGACACGGUCCAGACUCCUACGGGAGGCAGCAGUGGGGAAUAUUGCACAAUGGGCGCAAGCCUGAUGCAGCCAUGCCGCGUGUAUGAAGAAGGCCUUCGGGUUGUAAAGUACUUUCAGCGGGGAGGAAGGGAGUGAGGUUAAUAACCUUAUUCAUUGACGUUACCCGCAGAAGAAGCACCGGCUAACUCCGUGCCAGCAGCCACGGUAAUACGGAGGGUGCAAGCGUUAAUCGGAAUUACUGGGCGUAAAGCGCACGCAGGCGGUCUGUCAAGUCGGAUGUGAAAUCCCCGGGCUCAACCUGGGAACUGCAUUCGAAACUGGCAGGCUGGAGUCUUGUAGAGGGGGGUAGAAUUCCAGGUGUAGCGGUGAAAUGCGUAGAGAUCUGGAGGAAUACCGGUGGCGAAGGCGGCCCCCUGGACAAAGACUGACGCUCAGGUGCGAAAGCGUGGGGAGCAAACAGGAUUAGAUACCCUGGUAGUCCACGCUGUAAACGAUGUCGACUUGGAGGUUGUUCCCUUGAGGAGUGGCUUCCGGAGCUAACGCGUUAAGUCGACCGCCUGGGGAGUACGGCCGCAAGGUUAAAACUCAAAUGAAUUGACGGGGGCCCGCACAAGCGGUGGAGCAUGUGGUUUAAUUCGAUGCAACGCGAAGAACCUUACCUACUCUUGACAUCCAGAGAACUUAGCAGAGAUGCUUUGGUGCCUUCGGGAACUCUGAGACAGGUGCUGCAUGGCUGUCGUCAGCUCGUGUUGUGAAAUGUUGGGUUAAGUCCCGCAACGAGCGCAACUCUUAUCCUUUGUUGCCAGCGGUCCGGCCGGGAACUCAAAGGAGACUGCCAGUGAUAAACUGGAGGAAGGUGGGGAUGACGUCAAGUCAUCAUGGCCCUUACGAGUAGGGCUACACACGUGCUACAAUGGCAUAUACAAAGAGAAGCGACCUCGCGAGAGCAAGCGGACCUCAUAAAGUAUGUCGUAGUCCGGAUUGGAGUCUGCAACUCGACUCCAUGAAGUCGGAAUCGCUAGUAAUCGUGGAUCAGAAUGCCACGGUGAAUACGUUCCCGGGCCU
rnacentral:rRNA from 1 species